CAGGUCAAUAGGGAAUUGUUGCCAGGGUGAUCAAACGCGCGCACAUAGCCAGAUUAGACUACGGAGAGAAGCAUUGCCAUAUUGGGUUCGGGUGUAAAGUAUCCAUCUGGAUGUGAUAAAAGAAAAAGGAAGGAGGUAGAUGACAUGAAAGGAUCCCUUCUUAAUAAAUCAUAAGAGCCAUCCGAGCACUU